rnacentral:lncRNA from 1 species
AAGCAAUUUGCUCAUAGCCAUAGCUUUCUUGUGAAAGUAGGAUAUUAACCCAGGUGUCUUGGUGCUGGAGAACAGAACUGGCCAGAGUCCAUCCUGUCUCCCACCGGCAUCCCAUUACGAAAUGAACACAGAAAAGGCAGGUCUGCAAUGCCAACAUCUAGUAUCUAUCCCAAAGACCAGGGAGAAAGGAAGGAAAGAUUCUGGUUCUGUCCUCUUCCCCAAGGCAAGGCUGGCUGCCCUACCAACAGAGGCAAAGAGAAGAGUGUGCAAGGCUGGCUGCCCUCCCAACAGAGGCAAAGAGGAGUGUGUGUUGAAAUAUCCAUUGAAUCCCUGAGACAACUGGAUCCUGGCCCAUUGAAUCAUAAACUCAUUUCAGAGAAGAUGAAACUGAUGUGCGUCAAAAAGUUAUGGAGGCUGGGAAGACCUAGAAUGUGGCAUCACUAUUUGCUGAAAUUUUUAAUAUAAUGCCUCUUAGCCUGGUUUGGAGAAAACGUCACAGAGAGGCACCAUUUGUUGUGGUUUUACAUGAAAAUUUUCUGACCCUGAACCUGGUUUGAUGGAAAUCAUUUGCUGAGGAAACCAUGCCGAUUACCGACCGAGCUCUCAAUGGAAAAAUGCAGUCGGCGUGAACCACGCACGAACACAGCAGAGAAAGAAGAAAACACACACCACGAGGAACCCUAAUAGGACAAUACAUUAUAAGCCUCAUGGUACAUCCACUUGGUGUGCUGGGAGAGUCAGGAUGAGGACCUGAGAAGAACAGCAGCUUGAACCUGACUUCAUUUAACAGCCCACUGCCCUCUUGCCAAGAACCCAUCACAGACCUUCCCAGAAGAGAGGGAUGAGCCUCACCUAUGAAUAAGUCCUCAGAAACUCAAAUUUGAUUCUAAUGGAUUGUUUUCUCAGAAAGACUGAGCAUGUCCCCCCACAUCUCUGUCAUUUCCCACAGUAGUAACCUCUGCAGAUGCCACAUAGAAAACAAAACAAAACAAAAAAACAUGAGGUUGGUGGGCAGAUAGGCAGGGUAUAAACAAACAGCCUUGUAACCCAGAAGCUGUGUGAUAUACAGUAAACUUCACAACACUGAAAAGAUGUCCUAUCUGUUAAAAUGGGGUAAUAACAACUACCCGAAUGUUUAGGAAUAGAACUUCAAUAAAUGAUACAUUUUAUAGUACAGCAGACCAUCCUGUAAAGGUUUCAUCCUUCACUGUGGUGAUAAAUAUCCCAAACCACAUUGAAAAGCAUUGCAUCUACAUUUAUCUACACUGUAACUGUACUGUAAAUCAUGGGGGAGGGGAGAAUCAUAAAAACACCACCUGUCACCGUGUCAUUAAAGCAAGUUGGAAGUGAUACUUACAGAAACACAGCAAGAGCACCCCCAGUCACACAGUUCAAUCUCUUAGCAAGCGUUUUCUUUCUAGCCCAGUGGUUCUCAGUUUGGAAUUUUUGGCACUGCCUAGAGAUAGUUUUGUUGUUAAAACUGAGAAAAGAGCCGGGCGUGGUGGCACACGCCUUUAAUCCCAGCACUCAGGAGGCAGAGGCAGG